GUAGGUGGCAAGCGUUGUCCGCAAUUAUUGGGCGUAAAGCGCGCGCAGGUGGUUCUUUAAGUCUGAUGUGAAAGCCCCCGGCUCAACCGGGGAGGGUCAUUGGAAACUGGGGAACUUGAGUGCAGGAGAGGAAAGUGGAAUUCCACGUGUAGCGGUGAAAUGCGUAGAUAUGUGGAGGAACACCAGUGGCGAAGGCGACUUUCUGGCCUGUAACUGACACUGAGGCGCGAAAGCGUGGGGAGCAAACAGGGAUUAGAUACCCUGGUAGUCCACGCCGUAAACGAUGAGUGCUAAGUGUUGGGGGGGGUUUCCGCCCCCUCAGUGCUGCAGCUAACGCAUUAAGCACUCCGCCUGGGAGUACGGUCGCAAGACUG
rnacentral:rRNA from 1 species